UACGAAGGGGGCUAGCGUUGCUCGGAAUCACUGGGCGUAAAGGGUGCGUAGGCGGGUCUUUAAGUCAGGGGUGAAAUCCUGGAGCUCAACUCCAGAACUGCCUUUGAUACUGAAGAUCUUGAGUUCGGGAGAGGUGAGUGGAACUGCGAGUGUAGAGGUGAAAUUCGUAGAUAUUCGCAAGAACACCAGUGGCGAAGGCGCCACUCUGGGCCGGUACUGACGCUGAGGAGCGAAAGCGUGGGUAGCAAACAGG
rnacentral:rRNA from 1 species